rnacentral:lncRNA from 1 species
CCAAUCAUGCUACGCACCCUUGUCAUAUGGACGCUCGAAUCAAGAACCGACGCUCCAACUUCCCAACCGUUGAGAGACUGACAUCCAGAUAUAAAUACAAGUGACACCCAACAUAGAACUUACUGGAUAAUACAUUCAAACUAGUAUCAAAAGAUCAUACUCCCACUGGGAAUCUUGGUAUUGUUGUCUGUACUGGGUCAGUUGCUCCUUCAGUGAAUAUUCUUCAGAUCGCAAUCUUCGUCUUCAAUCCGUUCAUCACAACUUCCACUGCUUCAAACAUCAGUCUUUAACAUCACUGUAUUUGUUUAUAUUAUCUUUACUUCUGCUUAUCCAUAUCGCAAACUGUUAUUCCAUUCAUCGAUACUUAUAUUCAUGUUACCUGUGUUAGGCAUAUAAAUAUAUAUUGAAUAACAUAAAUCUACUUACAUUCGAUCCCGUGAUAUAAAUCUGUUCACACUAUAGUAAUAUAGAUCAAAUCAUAAACACACAAUCAUUCAUUGCAUAUAGCAAUAUAUCAGAAAUAUUUCUGCAUAAAUCCUGUUACUACACAAACAUAAUAAUUAAUAAUAACAAUGGAGGAUUUAACAUGAUAAAGU